UGACCUCUGACCUCAAAUCAGGUAGGAUUACCCGCUGAACUUAAGCAUAUCAAUAAGCGGAGGAAAAGAAACUAACAAGGAUUCCCCUAGUAACUGCGAGUGAAGCGGGAAGAGCUCAAAUUUAAAAUCUGGUGGUCUCUGGCCGUCCGAGUUGUAGUCUGGAGAAGUGCUUUCCGCGCUGGACCGUGUACAAGUCCCUUGGAACAGGGCGUCAUAGAGGGUGAGAAUCCCGUCUUUGACACGGACUACCAGUGCUUUGUGAUGCGCUCUCAAAGAGUCGAGUUGUUUGGGAAUGCAGCUCAAAAUGGGUGGUAAAUUCCAUCUAAAGCUAAAUAUUGGCGAGAGACCGAUAGCGAACAAGUACCGUGAGGGAAAGAUGAAAAGCACUUUGGAAAGAGAGUUAAACAGUACGUGAAAUUGCUGAAAGGGAAACACUUGAAGUCAGUCGCGUCGGCCAGAACUCANGCCUUGCUCUUUUGCUCGGUGCACUUUCUGGUUGACGGGCCAGCAUCGAUUUUGACCGUUGGAUAAAGGUUGGGGGAAUGUGGCACCUUCGGGUGUGUUUAUAGCCCUCGGUCACAUACAACGGUUGGGAUCGAGGAACUCAGUACGCCUUUGUGGCCGGGGCCUGUCCCACGUACACGUACUUAGGAUGCUGGCGUAAUGGCUUUAAAUGACCCGUCUUGAAACACGGACCAAGGAGUCUAACAUGCCUGCGAGUGUUUGGGUGGAAAACCCGAGCGCGCAAUGAAAGUGAAAGUUGAGAUCUCUGUCGUGGAGAGCAUCGACGCCCGGACCAGACCUUCUGUGACGGAUCCGCGGUAGAGCAUGUAUGUUGGGACCCGAAAGAUGGUGAACUAUGCCUGAAUAGGGUGAAGCCAGAGG
rnacentral:rRNA from 1 species